rnacentral:rRNA from 1 species
GACCCUAGCGGGCGUCUCGAAAAUGAAUCAAAACUUUCAACAACGGAUCUCUUGGUUCUGGCAUCGAUGAAGAACGCAGCGAAAUGCGAUAAGUAAUGUGAAUUGCAGAAUUCAGUGAAUCAUCGAAUCUUUGAACGCACAUUGCGCCCGCCAGUAUUCUGGCGGGCAUGCCUGUCCGAGCGUCAUUU